ensembl:lncRNA
GUUUGAGGCCGAGCAGCCGCCUCAGGCGAGACAAAGGCGACCGAACAGAGAGAACGAUGUCAUCACCAAGGAACGUUUUACACGUAAACAACAGCGAUGAAAAACAGCAAGGAGGCAAACUGGGAAGACACUGCUGAUGAAAUGUUCCAUGAGAGAGGAAGGCAAUGGAGGACGGGCAGAGGACAACGACUUGGAUCCAGGGGUGGACCUUCAUCGGCUGGGGCCGAGCAGCGCGACAAAGAAGAACACAAAGACGGCGGCGUGCUCCAUUGAGAGGGACGGCGGCUAAAAGGCGGGACGAUGCGUCGCUCGGCCUCUUAUG